UGUAAGCUAGCUACAAGUAGAUUCUUUUCUGCAAAAUUUUGACAGUCAUAUAUUUCCAAAUAUAGCAAUUAUUAUACAAUCCCGUAUCCAUGGUAGGACUCAGCAGGGCCGUCUAGGAACAUACUGCUGCACAAGCUCAUACUUCACGCGGGGCGUGCGGUAUGUCCUAGUGCGGCAGGAUGUCCUUAGGCGUCCCUGUUAGGUCCUGCACAUUGAUAGAAAGUUUCUGAGACUCCUAUUGACCCAUAAUUGUCGGCGUAAUCAAAAGACUCAAGUUUAAGGUGCUGCAAAAUCAUAGAGUUUAUGCCAACAAUCAUCAAUCAACAUAACAAGUUGUAUAUUUUUAAUAUGUGAUUCUCAGCUGUUUAAACUUUGAAUGUAA
rnacentral:sRNA from 1 species